CUAAAACCAAGUAAGGAGCAGGGCCAAAGACUAAGGCAGGACAAGGAGAAGGGCCUGGUGAGCAACAGUGCACGCAGCAGUGGUCUAUCAGGCCAUAUUCUACAUUUGCACAGUACAUCAGCAUGAAGACUGCUUAGUAAAUGUGAGUCCCACAAUUAUUCCUGUGUUGGGUUUAAUGCUGGUGGCCAUUGUGCUGCUCAGAGAGUUAAACAAGUUUCCUUAUAAUGAAUGCAGAAUAUUCUGUUUUAUAUGUAUUUUAUAUGAUACCGUCUCUGUUUUACUAUAUCUAGGUCUAAGUUCUCCUGACACACCAGAAACAUAUGAUUAUCGCCCAGUAAAAGGUAAAUCAAAUAUAUAUAUAUAUUUUUAUUUUAAAGCACAAUGGAAUACUCGUAUUGAGUUAUUAUUUUUAUUGAUCUUUGGUUCUCUUAUAUCAAGUCUAUUUUGUUUUUAGAAAUGGGCACAGCUACUGGGAACAAUCCCUCACAGACCAUAGAGGAUACAACAAAGCAAACGUGCAAAAUCAAGAAAAAUAAGAAGGAAAAGAAAGAAAAACAUCUGCAUAUGAAAGUUAGUUAUGAAAAGAAAGAAAAGAAUCUGGAAGCAAGAGAGAUUGCUGUAGAAAAGAGAGAAACUCAUCAGGAUAGAAGAGAAAUUCAUCUGGAAGAGAGAGAAAAGCAUCUGAAUGAAAAAGAAACGAAUUUAGUAGAAAAAGAAAAGCACCUACAACAAAAAGAAAUUACUUUGCAAGAGAAAGGAAAGCAUCUGGAUGGAAAAGAAGUUCAGUUUGAAGAAAAAGAAAAGCAUCUGGAUGGAAAAGAAAUGAAUUUAGCAGAAAAAGAAAAGCAUCUACAGCAAAGAGGGAUUCAUUUGCAAGAGAAAGAAAAGCAUCUGGAUGGAAAAGAAGUUCAAUUUGAAGAGAAAGAAAAACAACUGUUUGUAAGAGAGAUUAAUUUGGGGAAAAGAUCAAAAUAUCUAGAGGGAAGAGAGACUCGCUUGCAAGAGAGAACAAAACAUCUGGAAGAAAAAGACAUUCUUUAGAAGGAAGCUUAAAGCAUCUGUUGGGGAGAGAGAAUAGUUUGCAAGAGAGAACAAAACAUCUGGAAGAAAAAGAAGUUUCUUUAGAUGAACGUUUAAAGCAUCUGUUGGGAGAGAGAAUAGUUGCAAGAGAGAGGAAAGUGUCUGGAUGGAAGAGAGGUUCAACUGGAAAAGAGGGAAAUGCGUAUAGAUAGAAGAGAGAGUCGUGUGGAUGAGAGAGAACAGCGCCUGGAGGGAAAGGAGAUUCAUUUGGAAGAGAAAGAAAAAAAUCUUGCACAACAUGACCUGAGACAUCUUAAUUCUGCAGAUAGAGAAAAUGAAAAACAGGAAAGAAGUUCAUUCAUGAAAAGUUCCAAGAAGCAAAAGAGAGAACAUCCUGAUGAAGAAGAGAAAGAGCACUCUGUUGAUGAGUAACCCAUUCAGUGUAGAAACAGACAGUAGACCUGUGCAUGAACACCGGCUGGAAGAAGAAACCUUCAGGUGGAAGAAGAGGAAGAAAUUAGUACCUUACCUGAAUAUAUACUGGAUCUGUACGUGACUUGAAUAGAGAUCAGAACAUUAUUCUGAUAAUAAUAUUUUUAACAAAGGCCACGUUAAAAUAAAGAGGACACAAACUCAACAGUCGAGCAUGAACAACCACUUAUCAAAACUACUUAAUAUUAUGUGUGUCCUGUGAACCGAGCAGCCAGCCAAAUUCCCAUUCCUGAGUCAGGCAACAAAACUGUAAAAAACAAACAAACAAAAAACUUGCUGAUACGACAUACGCCUGUGAUGUUUAUGUGAAAAAAAAAAAAACUAAUGUAAAAAUUAGGUUUUUUUUUUUUUUUAAUUUUUUUAAAAAUACUUAAAAAAAAUAUUUUUAAAAUUUAAAUUUAAGUUUAAUGAAAUUUAACUUUAAUUAAUUUUAAAAAAAAUAAUUUUUAAUACUUACAUACAUACUGUACAUACAGUACUGUGCAAAAGUUUUAGGCAUAUGCAAAGAAAUGCUGUAGAUGCCUUCAAAAUACUGAAAUACAGUAAAGAGCAGUAAACAGUAGUAAAUGACACAAAGUCAAUAUUUAGUGUGACAAAAAAUAAAAAUAAAAUAGUAGUCUCAGGUAGAGUUAGUGCAGUUUUAUAAGGAAAUGAGCUGUAAUUUUAUUGAGCAUCUUGCAGAAUGCCGCUUUCUUUACUGAUGAACAUUUUUCUGUAACAUUUAAUUUUGUGCUGGAAAACUAAUGUUUGGGAAUCUAAAAUGUGUUUGUACUGACUCGAUAUGUCGAAGUCAUCAAAUAAAAAUCUGUAACAAAGUUUGUACUAAAAAAAAAAUAGGUGCCUAAAACUUUUGCACAGUACUGUAUGUAUUUUUCUUUAGGUUUUUAGUUCCCAAAAUCCUUAGGCAUAUUUGUAUACUAAUAUAUGUAUUUUGUUGUUAUACAUUUUUUUAGAUUUAAAUUCGCAUUCAC
ensembl:lncRNA